AAAAAAUCCUCUAACAAAGCAUAUGUGAAGAUCCCAAAGACGUGUACCACCCAAGAAACCCAACGCAAAACUUCUGGAGAAUAUGUUCACCGAGGAUGUUAUCCCAGUUCCUCGGGAUAGCGAUUCCUUUCUGCAAUUCCACGAGGAUGGUUCAUCUUCUUUCCAUAUGAAAUAUUAAUUUACUGUCAUGUCAUUGGUUAAUUAUCUGUAAUUUUAUAGAAAUAUUUGUAAAAUUUGUAAAUGUAUACCUAAUAAAUAUUUUUUUGUCAGGGUU
rnacentral:sRNA from 1 species